CCUACGGGAGGCAGCAGUGGGGAAUCUUCCGCAAUGGGCGAAAGCCUGACGGAGCAACGCCGCGUGAUCGAAUGAAGGCCUUCGGGUUGUAAAGAUCUGUUGACAGGGACGAAUAAGCAAUGCGAAUAGUUUUGUGUAUGACGGUACCUGUUUAGAAAGCUCCGGCUAACUACCGGCACGCAGCCGAGGUCAGACGUAGGGAGCAAGCGUUGUCCGGAAUUGGUUGGCUUAAAGGGCGCGGGGGUGGGCGCGUAAGGCAUGAGAGAAAACUUCGGGCUUAACCUGGGGACAGCACUUGAAACUGGGUGUCUUGAGUGGAGGAGAGGAAAGUGGAAUGCGUAGUGUAGCGGUGAAAUGCAUAGAUAUCAGGAAGAACACCGGUUGCGAAGGCGGCUUUCUGGACUGUACCUGACGCUGAGGCGCGAAAGCGUGGGUAGCGAACGGGAUUAGAUACCCCAGUAGUC
rnacentral:rRNA from 1 species